rnacentral:rRNA from 1 species
GCAUAAUUUAUUUGAUGUUUUCUUACUACAUGGAUAACUGUAGUAAUUCUAGAGCUAAUACAUGCGUAAAGUCCUAACUCUCACGGGAAGGGAUGUAUUUAUUAGAUACAAAACCAAUGCAGGUUCUGCCUGCCAUUGUGUUGAAUCAUAGUAACAAUCGAACGGCAUAGCCUUGUGCUGGCCGUAGAUCAAUCAAAUUUCUGCCCUAUCAGCUUUAGACGGUAGUGUAGUGGACUACCGUGGCGUUAACGGGUAACGGGGAAUUAGGGUUCGAUUCCGGAGAGGGAGCCUGAGAAACGGCUACCACAUCCAAGGAAGGCAGCAGGCGCGCAAAUUACCCAAUCCAGACACUGGGAGGUAGUGACAAAAAAUAACAAUACCUGGCCUAAUUAGGUCGGGUAAUUGGAAUGAGUACAAUUUAAAUCCCUUAACGAGGAUCAAUUGGAGGGCAAGUCUGGUGCCAGCAGCCGCGGUAAUUCCAGCUCCAAGAGCAUAUAUUAAAGUUGUUGCAGUUAAAAAGCUCGUAGUUGGAUUUCUGGUUUAAUGCACCUGGCCCGCAGCCCUCAAGGCUUGUGAGUGCCGGCGCGCGUUUACCAUCUUUCUAGGUUUGCACUCUCCCAUUUACUUGGCGGAGUUGCAAUUCUCUAGAUCUUUUACUUUGAAAAAAUUAGAGUGUUUAAAGCAGGCUUUUGCCUAAAUACAUUAGCAUGGAAUAAUAAUCUAGGACUUCGGUUCUAUUUUGUUGGUUUAUAAAACUGAAGUAAUGAUUGAUAGGGACAGUUGGGGGUGCUAGUAUUGGCCGGCCAGAGGUGAAAUUCUUGGAUUCGGUCAAGACUAACUUAUGCGAAAGCAUUCACCAAGGAUGUCUUCUUUAAUCAAGAACGAAAGUUGGGGGAUCGAAGACGAUCAGAUACCGUCGUAGUCUCAACCAUAAACUAUGCCAACUAGGGAUGGGUGAACGUUGCAUUUUCGACUUCAUCCGCACCUUAUGAGAAAUCAAAGUCUUUGGGUUCCGGGGGGAGUAUGGUCGCAAGGCUGAAACUUAAAGGAAUUGACGGAAGGGCACCACCAGGAGUGGAGCCUGCGGCUUAAUUUGACUCAACACGGAAA